rnacentral:rRNA from 1 species
UACGGAGGGUGCAAGCGUUAUCCGGAUUCACUGGGUUUAAAGGGUGCGUAGGUGGAGUGGUAAGUCAGUGGUGAAAUCUCCAAGCUUAACUUGGAACUGCCGUUGAUACUAUCAUUCUUGAAUAUCGUGGAGGUAAGCGGAAUAGUGUCAUGUAGCGGUGAAAUGCUUAGAUAUGACAUAGAACACCGAUUGCGAAGGCAGCUUGCUACACGAUCAUUGACACUGAGGCACGAAAGCGUGGGGAUCAA